rnacentral:rRNA from 1 species
GACAGGAGGGGCUAGCAUUAGUUAUCGUGACUGGGCGUUAAGGGUGCGUAGAUGGCAUUUAAGAGAUCAAAAGUGAAAGACUGGAGCAAGACCCUUCAGAAGAGCUUUUAAAAUCGGUUUGCUAGGAGAAAGGCGCAGGUUAAGAGAAUUCUUAGUGUAAAGGUACAAUUUUCCGAAACUAGGCAGAAAACCAAAGGCGAAGGCACUUAACUGGCCCUUUCUGACAUUGAGGCACGAAGGCGUGGGUAGCAAACUGG